rnacentral:tRNA from 1 species
GCCGAUAUAGAUUCCCUGCCUAGAGCAUCCCGUUGUGUAACACGGGAAGGUCGUGGGUUCGAGUCCCUCUAUUGGCU